rnacentral:lncRNA from 1 species
CACCAAUGAGGGGGGUUUCUUGAUUGAAUAAUCUUAGGUGGAAAGAUGCACCCUAAAUCCAGAUCUUUUGCAGCAGGAAGAUCCACCUUAAAUCUGGGCCAAAACUUUUGCUGGCAGCCUGAAUAGAAUAUGGAAGAAGGAAGCACUUGCUGUUUUCCCUGCUUGCUCUUGCUUUUGCUGGCAACUUCAUACCUUGGAGUCCAAAAUAAACUGAAGAACAGCUAAGACAUUCAGCUUCAAGGACUGAACAACUAAUGAAUUCUUGGACUCCACAGACAUAGACAGCCAUCGUUGGACUUGCCUGUUUGAGGUCAUCUGUGACGUCAAAACAAUACCAGUAGCAAAAUGCUUAAGCACCCUUGGGAGGCAUUUCUGCAAGUGGAGAACUCAAAAGAAGACUAGAAAAGUUCACUAAAAAAAAUUUCAAGAAGACUGAUGCCUCGCUUUGAUUUCUAUCACUGUGAUAGAACACCACAACAUUGGUAGAAAAUAGUUUAUUUCAGCUUAAAGUUGUAGUCCAUCCUGAAGUGUAGUCAGGGCAAGGGCUCAGUGCAGAAACCUGCAGGCUGGGACCAAAGCACAGGCCAUGGAGGGAUGCUGCUCACUGGCUUGCUCUUCACAGCUUGUUCAACCUGCUUUCUUAGAGAACCCAGGACCACCUGUUCAGAGGUAGCACUUUACUGAGUGAGCUGGGGUCUCCCACAUUCAUUAUUCAUCAAGAAAAUACCCUACAGACAUGCCUACAGGUAGUCCUAUG